UCCCUGGUGGCUCAGAUGGUAAAGCAUCUGUCUACAAUGCAGGAGACCUGGGUUCGAGCCCUGGGUUGGAGAA
rnacentral:tRNA from 1 species